rnacentral:lncRNA from 1 species
CUCAGUAAGUUUAAAUUGUUGAAACUCCUGAAUUGGAUGAUGCUACUUGCCUACUCAAGUCAUUAUACAUAUGUAGUAGUCUUGAGCCUACAAUCUGUAGGUGAUCAAAGAAAAUAUUAACCUAAAUGAUGCAAUUAUUGGUGGAGAGAAAAAUUGAAGAUGGUGUUCACAUGUGAUGCUAGCAGUAUUUGAGUAAUACCACCAGCCAUGGAGUAUAAUGGUAUGGGGUGAGCAUUGCUAUAUGCCAACUCAAGUUUACCAUGCCAAUUAUGUUUUAAUUUGAUUGGUAUGAGCAUUAUUGUCAAUGAAAAAGGAUGUGGGUUCAAGUGCACCUCCUAUUUAUGGGUUGAGAAGGGGCUAUGAGUAAUUCUAGGCAUUGUCUCAAAAGAACAAAUAUAAUUAUUUACUUGGAAUGCAAAUCAAUCCGAUAAUUGAGAGUGGAACUAUGAAAUUUUGGUUAUAAAAUAUAAAAAUUUAAAUAUAAUUCAUGUAAUAUCCCGAAAUAGGGCCUAAAUGGAAUAGUGGUUGUGAAACCACAAAUCCGAGGUAGAAAAAAUUAUUUUAUUAUUAUUUUGAGGUUCAUGGUAUGACUGCAUGAUUGUGUAAAAAUUUCGUGAUGAAAUUCUAUCCAUAAAGUGCUUAAGUUGAGGUUAGGGACUAAAUCGAAUAAUUUGCAAAACUUGCAUUCUAGAAGUUUUUAGUAUGAAAUUACUUUGGAAUAUUAAUUAGAAGGGUUUAAAUAAAAAUUUGACCAAUUUUAAGUUCAUGGACAAAAAUUAGGACAUGGAAGGAAUUUUUGAAAGUUUAGUAAGGAGGGGUAAUUUGGUCAUUUGGAUAUUAAAUGAAUUAAAAAGGGAAAAAUAACACAAAAAUGGUCAUCUUCUCAAUUAGUUUCUGCCGAUUUUUGCUCUCCUCCAUAGCUGGAGUUUCUUCAACUUUCAAGCUUCAUAGUAAGUGAUUCCAAGCCCCAUUUUUAAUGAUCUUUAUGUUUUUGGAGUCCCGGUAACUUGAUUAAGCUUAUUCUAGCAAUAAUUCAACCUAGGGUUCAUAUUUGGAAAAAUACCCAUGGCUGAAAUUUGUGUAUUUUGGUGUUUUAUGAUAGAAUAUGAGGUUUUAAAUUAUGUUAAACAACUUAUGCUACUCGGUUUUAAGUGAAAACGAGUAAAAUGGCUUAAAUUGGAAAAAAAAUACCAAUAGUCAUAAGUAUAUGUUAGAGUGUGAUUUUGAUAUUGCCAUAGAAGGGAAAAAUGAUCAGCAUGUCAUAAAACAUAAGAAAAUAGGAUGAAGUUUAAUUUACGAGCAUUGGGGCAAAAGUGCAAAUAUGUGAAAGUUUAGGGGUAAAAAUAUAAUUUUACCAAAGUUUGGGUCAAGGACUGUUUUAAUAAAUUUGAAUAUUAAAUAAGUUAAAAUUGCUAUUAUAGAUCAAGAAGAACGAAAUUCGGGAGUAGAUCGGGGAAAAGAAAAAGUAAAUGAUUAAAUUGUAAAGUUUAGUCACAUUUUGUAUCAAGGUAAGUUACAGUAAAUAAAUGCAAUAUUCUUUUAUUUUACAUUAUUAUUGUCAAUUUCCAGCAUUUAUAUAUUUAUGUUAUGAAAAUAUUUAAAUUCGAAUUUAAGGUGAAGUGACAGAGGAAAAGUGUUAGAAAGCCCCGGUUGAACCCUAUGAAUGUUAGGAUAUUAGGGUUGACAGGACAGAACAGAAAUGAGCCAUGUAAGUCCAUAUUAGAAAUAUGGCUUUGGAGACAGGAUUGAGCCAUGUAAGUCCAUAUUAUAUAUGGCAUUGGAGACAUGAAUAAUUCAUGUAAGUCCAUGUCAAAGACAUGGCAUUGGCAGGAUAUUGAUAGACAGGAACGACCCUAGUAUCCUUAGUAUUCCGAGUGGUUCAACGGGUCAGGAUACUAGUUAAAUUACAGUGAAUUAACAGCAAAGGAAAAGUAGAUUAUACUUAUGAAAAAGGAAAGGUCAGGUAAGAAUGAAGGUAAGGGAAUAAAGAAGAAGAUAGAAAUUGAGAAGUAAAGAAAUUUAUGAUGUUAGAUGAUAUUAUGCAUAAUUAUCCAUUAUGUUGAAUGUUGUGAUUUAUUUGCUUGUAAGCUUACUAAGCCUAGUGCUUAAUCUCUUUAUUUUCUUCUUCUUAUAGUACUUAUCUAGUCACCCGGGGAUCGAAGGAAACGUCGGAGGCUGAUCACACUAUCAAAGAAAUAACUCGGUAUAAUUAGACGUUUUGUUUUGGGUAUGGCAUGUAUAGAAACUUAGCUACUUUUGGUAUAAUAUGAACAAUGAAUGAUGUGUAAAUACUUGCUAGUGAUUAGCUAAUAAAAUAGCCGAUGAUAUACAUGUUUAAUAAUAUGUAUGAUUGAAUGGUGAUUAUCACAUGAAAAUUAUGAAAAAUGUGAAAGUAACC